CAAAACCUUCCUCCAAAACUUUUUAACUCUUCAAGACCUUGGAAGAUUAGUGAAUAAGUUGUCAAGUGCCGCUUUAAGUCUUUCUAGCGAUCUUAGUUUCAAAGACCUUGGAGAGUAGUGAGUAAGUUGUCAAGUGCCGCAUGAAGCUUUAGUCUCCAAUGAUGAAAUUCAACAAGAAGUAGAAGAAAAUCCCAACCAACAAGAAAACACGAUGGAAAAUCCCAAUGAUGAAAUCCAGCAAGAAAACACGAUGGAAAAUUCCAAUGAUGAAAUUCAGGAAAUCCAGCAAGAAGUAGAAAAUCCCAACCAGCAAGAAAACACGAUGGAAAAUCCCAAUGAAUCAUGAGUGUCCGGCAAUGUUACUUCUACCUUUAUCCUUAAGUGAAGGAUUAUCCUUAAAUGCCUUUGUGGCAAAAGGAUUUUCCUUAAGUGCCUUUGUGGCAAAUGGAUUAUCCUUAAGUGCCUUUGUGGCAAAGGGAUUAGAUAUUUCUGAGUGGCAAAAGAAUUAGAUUCGAUAUUUUUGAGGCCUAGGGUAGUGCAUUUUUCUGAACAUUGUUGUAGAACGGCGAUUUUACUUCUAGAAUUAAAUGCCUUAAAUGCAUUGUGCUUAAAUGCCUUUGUGGCAAAAGGAAUAGACUUGAUAUUUUUGAGGGUUAGGGAGAACAUUUUUUCUGAACAUUGUACCACAUAUAGUAUCUUUUCUUGAAUAAAUAAAUAAAAAAACUG